GACGAACGCUGGCGGCGUGCUUAACACAUGCGAGUCGAACGGAAAGGCCUGCUUUCCCUUGUGGAUUGCGGGUACUCGAGUGGCGAACGGGUGAGUAACACGUGAGUGAUCUGCCCCCAACUUGGGUAUAAGCCUGGGAAACUGGGUCUAAUUCCCGAUAGGACUGCAGGGUGGUGCCUGUGGUGGAAAACGAUUUUCUAGUGGUUGGGGAUGAGCUCGCGGCCUAUCAGCUUGUUGGUGGGGUAAUGGCCUACCAAGGCGGCGACGGGUAGCCGGCCUGAGAGGGUGGACGGCCCCAUUGGGACUGAGAUACGGCCCAGACUCCUACGGGAGGCAGCAGUGGGGAAUAUUGCACAAUGGGCGGAAGCCUGAUGCAGCGACGCCGCGUGGGGGAUGACGGCCUUCGGGUUGUAAACUCCUUUCGACCGCGAGGAAGCCACCUGGUUGGAAGGGUGGUGACGGUAGUGGUAGAAGAAGCACCGGCUAACUACGUG
rnacentral:rRNA from 1 species